rnacentral:rRNA from 1 species
AACCAAAAUGACAAUGGAUAUCUCAACUCUUACAUUAAUGAAAAAUGUAGCAAAAUGUGAUAAUUGGUGUGAAUUGCAAAAUCCCAUGAACCACUGAGUCUUUGAAGAUGAGUUGCACCCUAAGCCAUUAGGCAGAGGGCACACUUACUUAGGUGUCAUGCAUCAUCACCCGCUCUAACUAGCCACCCAUUGGGCUCAUGGUGAAGGGGAAAAAGAUGGCCUCCUUUGAUUUUGUCGAUCAUGGUUGGCCAAAAAUUAAGUCCCCGACAAUGAUAACACUAUGACCGUUAGUUGUAAAGCUCUUGACGUGUCCAGUGACUCAUGCUCAAUGUCCAUUCAGACCCCAUCAAAACCCUUGUAUUGCUUAGUCGAUGCUUGCUUUACUACCCUAGGUUAAGCAGGAUUACCUGCUGAGUUUAAGCAUAUCAAUAAGUGGAGGAAAAAAAACUUACCAGAAUUCCCUUAGUAACAGCAUGAACUAGGAAGAGCUUAUGUUAAGAAUCGAGCACCCUCAACAUCCAAAUUAUAAUUUAGAAAAGCAUCAUCAGUAGUGGACUAGGCCUAAGUCCCUUGGAAAGGGUGCUAAAAAGGGUGAAAGCCCCAUUGUGCCUGGAUCUUAUCGCACCAUAAGGCACUUUCUGCGAGUCAGGUUGUUUGGGAAUGCAGCCCUAAGCAAAUGGUAAAUUUUGUCCAAGACUAAAUAUAGGUGAGAUACCAAUAGUGAACAUGUACCACGAGGGAAAGAUGAAAAGGACUUUGAAAAAAGAGUUAAAGAGUGAUUGAAAUUGUCAGUAAUGAUGGGAGUAAUGAUGCUCCCUGAUUGAAAGUGAAUGGGUAUGGACUGACGUAGGUCACGGUGGGUGCCUAAGCCUAAGCUUUUGAUAUGCCUAUAGUGUCAACAUACGGGCUCCCUAUCUAGGUCAUCUUGAAACACAUACCAAGGGGUCUAACAUGUAUGUGAGUCAAUGAGCUAAAAAACCCAUAAUGUGCAAGGAAGCUGAUUGGUAGGAUCCCUUGUAGGUGCACUAUCAACUAACCUUGAUCUUCUAAUAAGGGUUCAAAUAUGAGCAUGCCUAUUGAGAACCUAAAUAUGGUGAACUAUGCUUGAGCGGGGUAAAGCUAGAGGAAACUUUGGUGGAGCCCCUAAUGAUACUAAUGUGCAAAUCAUUCAUUUGAUAUAGGUAUAGGGGCAAACAACUAAUCGAACUGUCUAGUAGCUAGUUUUUUCUUAAGUUUUCCUCAAGGUAGUUAGAGCCCUUAGUGAGUUCUAUCGAGUAAAGCCAAUGAUUAGAGGCAUCAGAGGUGCAACAUCCUAGACUUAUUCUCAAACUCUAAAUAUAUUUCAUGCAAAAUUGGGAGCUCUAACUAAACCAUUUUUGGUAAGCAGAACUAGUGGUGCGGGAUGAACUAGAAGCUGAUGCCCAACUACACACAAACCUAGAACCCACAAAGGGUGUUAGUUGAUUAAGAUAGUAGGAUGGUGGUCAUGAAAGUCGAUUAAGCGUAUGACCUAUACCCAGCCAUCGAGGUAAGGGCUAUGCCCCAAUGAGUAGAAGGGCAUGGCAAUCACCAAAAAACCAUAGGUAAAAGCCUAGUCGAAGUAGUUGUUGGUAUAGAACUUAGUGGUAGUAGCAAAUAUUAAAAUGAAAACUUUGAAGGCUAAAAAGAGGAAAGGUUCCAUGUGAAUGGCACUUACACAUGGGUUAGUUGAUCCUAAAAGAUAUGGAAACCCGAUUCGAUAGUGCAUCCAGAGCAAGCUUUAAAAGGGAAUUAGGUAUAAAUUCUUGAACUGGGAUGUGACAAUUGACGGUGAUGUUAAAGAGUCCAGAGACAUUGCAAGGGCAUCAAGAAGAGUUAUCUUUUCUGUUUAAUGUCUUGCCCACCUUAAAAAUGGCUCAGCUAGAGGUAAGGUUUAGUGGCCAGAAAAGCAUUGCACAUCACGUGAUGUCCGUACCCAAUGAUACUCACAACUAUAUUAGGUCUCCGAGGUGAAUAGCCUCUAGUCAAUGGAACAAUGUAGGUAAGGGAAGUUGGUAAAAUGGAUCCGUAACCUUAGGAAAAAAAAUUGGCUUUAAAGGCUGGGCACGAGGGUCCAAUCUUGAACUUCUUGGUUAUUGAUGCAUUGCUUGAGUAGGUCUUUGCAUGCCAACCAUAGGAUAGACCGAGAACAGCUCCCUUGGGGGCCUUUCUUGAGUGAUGAAUAGUUAACUUAAAAUUGGUACAGAUAAGGGGAAUUCAACUAUUUAAUUAAAACAAAGCAUUGUAAUGGUCCUUGCAAACACUCACAUAUGUGAUUUCUAUCUAGCACUCUAAAUGUCAAAGUGAAGAAAUUUAACCAGGUGUGGGUAAAUGGCAGGAGUAACCAUGAUUCUCUUAAGGUAGAAUGAACAGAUUAACAAGAUUUCCAUUAUCCCUAUCUACUAUCUAAGGGAAGCACAGCUAAGGGAAUAGGCUUGGUAGAAUCAAUGGGGAAAGAAGACCUUGUUAAGCUUGACUCUAGUCGACUUUGUGAAAUGACUUAAGAAGUGUAGGAUAAGUGGAAGACCUCAAGCAAAAUUGAAAUACCACUACUUUUAACAUUAGUUUACUUAUUCCAUGAAUCAAAGGUAGGGCAUGACCCUUUCCUUUGGACCCAAGGUUAGCCUUAGUCAGCCUCAGUCGACUUCGGUCUGUUGAUCUAGAUAAAAGACAUUGUUAGUGGGGAGUUUAGUUAAAGCAGCACAUUUGUUAAAAGAUAAUGCAUGUGUCCUAAGAUAAGCUCAAUGAGAACAAAAAUCUUGUAUGCAACAAAAAGGUAAAAGCUCUUUUAAUUCUAAUUUUUAGUAUGAAUAUGAACCAUGAAAGCAUGGCUUAUCGAUCCUUUAGACUUUCAAAAUUUGAAGCUAGAGGUGUCAAAAAAGUUAUCACAGGUAUAACUAGCUUGUGGUAGCCAAGUGUUCGUAGCAACACUGUUUUUUUAUCCUUCGAUGUUGACUCUUCCUAUCAUUGUGAAGCAAAAUUUACCAAGUGUUGGAUUGUUCACCCACUAAUAGAGAAUAUGAGUUCGGUUUAAACUAUCAUGAGGUAGGUUAAUUUUACCUUACUAAUGGUAGCCUUAUAGUAGUAAUUCAACCUAGUAUGAGAGGUACCAAUGAUUUGCACAAUUGGUCAUCACGCUUGGUUUAAAAGCCAAUGGCGUAAAGCUACUGUCCACUAGAUUAUGACUGAAUAGCUUUAAGUCAAAUUUUAGGCCAAAAAUGACACACGUGCCCAUUGCUCAAUUGCUAACUUGUAAUAGGGGCUUAUGGCCCCUAAGGUUGAAACUUAAUGGAAUUGAUGAAAAGGCACCACUAGGAGUAGAUCCUGUAGAUUAAUUUAACUCCACUAAAAAACUUACCAGGUCU